rnacentral:rRNA from 1 species
AUUGAACGCUGGCGGCAUGCUUUACACAUGCAAGUCGAACGGUAACAGGCCGCAAGGUGCUGGCGAGUGGCGAACGGGUGAGUAAUGCAUCGGAACGUGCCCAGUCGUGGGGGAUAACUACUCGAAAGAGUAGCUAAUACCGCAUACGAUCUAUGGAUGAAAGCGGGGGACCGUAAGGCCUCGCGCGAUUGGAGCGGCCGAUGUCAGAUUAGGUAGUUGGUGGGGUAAAGGCUCACCAAGCCAACGAUCUGUAGCUGGUCUGAGAGGACAACCAGCCACACUGGGACUGAGACACGGCCCAGACUCCUACGGGAGGCAGCAGUGGGGAAUUUUGGACAAUGGGCGCAAGCCUGAUCCAGCAAUGCCGCGUGCAGGAAGAAGGCCUUCGGGUUGUAAACUGCUUUUGUACGGAACGAAACGGCUCUGGUUAAUACCCGGGGCUAAUGACGGUACCGUAAGAAUAAGCACCGGCUAACUACGUG